AACGAACGCUGGCGGCAUGCCUAACACAUGCAAGUCGAACGAGACCUUCGGGUCAAGUGGCGCACGGGUGCGUAACGCGUGGGAACCUGCCCUUAGGUUCGGAAUAACUCCCCGAAAGGGGUGCUAAUACCGGAUAAUGUCUUGGGACCAAAGAUUUAUCGCCUUUGGAUGGGCCCGCGUUGGAUUAGCUAGUUGGUAGGGUAAAAGCCUACCAAGGCGACGAUCCAUAGCUGGUCUGAGAGGAUGAUCAGCCACACUGGGACUGAGACACGGCCCAGACUCCUACGGGAGGCAGCAGUGGGGAAUAUUGGACAAUGGGCGAAAGCCUGAUCCAGCAAUGCCGCGUGAGUGAUGAAGGCCUUAGGGUUGUAAAGCGAUUUUACCCGGGAUGAUAAUGACAGUACCGGGAGAAUAAGCUCCGGCUAACUCCGUG
rnacentral:rRNA from 1 species